GAUAAAUUUUUACUGAGAGUCGUAUAGGAAUCUAUAAUCUAGUACUUUCGAAAAUACGCCGAGAGUAUUCCUGAUGGUGAAACGAGCGUUGCUUCAUCGAACGCAGCUAAAGAAAACAACAUCUAUGUAGUUGGUGGUACGAUGCCUGAAAUAGAGGGCGAUAAAUUGUACAAUACCUGUACUAUUUGGGGUCCCGAUGGAACUUUGAUAGCAAAACACCGAAAGGUACAUCUAUUCGACAUCGACAUUCCUAAUAAGAUUACUUUUCGAGAGAGUGAUUCACUCAGUCCUGGUAACUCCCUAACGACGUUCGACGUGAAGGGCUGCAAAAUAGGUAUUGGCAUUUGCUAUGAUAUUAGAUUCGAGGAAAUGGCACGCAUUUAUCGUAACAAAGGUUGCCAAAUGCUGAUAUAUCCAGCGGCAUUCAAUAUGACCACUGGACCACUGCACUGGUCAUUACUUCAGCGUUCCAGAGCGAAUGAUAAUCAAUUAUACGUUGCCUGCAUAUCACCGGCUCGUGUUCCUUCAGCAAGUUACGUCGCAUGGGGGCAUACACAGUUGACCAAUCCCUGGGGAAAGAUUCUUUACGAUUUGGAAACUCAAGAGAAUAUGGCAGUCACCGAUAUCAAAAAAAAAAAAAAAAAAAAAAAAAAAUAUGAGGCAUACUAUAUAAGAUUGUCAUCGAUUUAAAAUCAAAGUAUGAAAAGGAUACCCUGGAGAGAGUAAAACACAGAAUUAUUCCAACUAAACAUUCAGAUCGUACCGACACCUAGCUUCAACAUCUUCAAUAUCGAGGAGAUUCAAACUUUACAAAUAAAAGCGGCCUGUUCCCCUUUCCACGACAGACUCUCAUACCAUAUCCGCUCUUAUCCAGGCUUUUACUUGAAACCAGCAAUGCGUUCAUUUACAAUUUAAAUUUACCCGGACCAUCCACUGAAUCGUCAGUCCUUUAUAAAUAUAUAAUGAACCUAGAACAUGUGCCUGUGCCUCUGGUAUCGAUGUUCGGCUUGUGAUGUUCGUACCGGAACCUUCGCACAAUUUCAAUUUGUCACGCGUGAACAUCGAUUCUUCCAAGGGUCACAGCUUUAUGCGGCUAAAUCCUUUAGAACGAUUAAAAUGAUACUAAUGAUAUGGUAUUUUUUACAAAGAUUUAACAUAUCCAUCAAAUAGGAAGUUUCGUGCUCUCCUAUUUUAUAUUAAUUAUAAAUUAAUAAGUUUUAUAUGUGUUAUUUAUAGAUCUAAUAAAUUUUGUAUUGGUUUACAGCAGGUGCUCCGGGUAUAAACAGACGACAAACGAACAAAUAGAAAUUCAAACUAUUGUCGUUGUUUAACUCGCAUGGGACUAUAAGCUCGAAUUGGACUUAAACGUUACGAUCGUCGAGAAUAAUUACUAUAUGUACCCUGUACGGCGGGCAGAGAAUCUUAAGUUAUUAACGGCAAUUCCUUUGUGCGUAAUUCAGGUUUAUUAACAACCUGUAAUGGAUAAUCAUCGAUGAACUCUUUUUGAAUAAAGUUCACAUUUAUAAAGCAAACACUAUAAAAUACGACAGGACAAUUGUAAUCGAUAAAUAACAUUUUAUUAGGAUAUUAUAAGAAGCUAAGAUAUCGAGGUACAUUAAAAUUGAGUCCGCUGCAACCCUCAUGACAUUUAAAAUCCUACGCGUAUAUUGAGUAAAGUUGUUAUAUUAAAUAUAAUCAUAUUAAAUACAAGCUCGUCCGCUGGAUUCCCAAAUUAUUUGGUUAAAUACUUUGAAUACGAUAAUACCGAGUGUUAACAGUAGUAAAUCCUCUAUAUGGUAUGUUUACUUUGCUAUCUUGAAUAGGUAAAUAACAUUUCACUUUAACGCAUUUAACCAAUAUUAACAUUUAACAUUUAACCAAUAUUAUACGUAUAUGCACAUAAUGUUACUGUUACAUAUAAUGAUAUAUACGUAGAUAUGCACGUUAAUUAAAUCCUCUAUAUGGUAUUUUUAUAUCAGUAUCGUAAACAUUGUAAACCGGAAAUCUUUUAUUACACACGUACAUAUACAGUCAA